AGUAAGAGUUUGAUCAUGGCUCAGAUUGAACGCUGGCGGCGUGCUUAACACAUGCAAGUCGAGCGGUAACAGGCGUAGCAAUACGUGCUGACGAGCGGCGAACGGGUGCGUAAUACAUGGGAAUCUGCCCUUUAGUGGGGAAUAACCCGGCGAAAGCCGGGCUAAUGCCGCAUAAGAUCUUCGGAUGAAAGCGGGGGAUCGUAAGACCUCGCGCUGAUGGAUGAGCCCAUGUCGGAUUAGCUAGUUGGUGAGGUAACGGCUCACCAAGGCGACGAUCCGUAGCUGGUCUGAGAGGACGACCAGUCACACCGGAACUGAGACACGGUCCGGACUCCUACGGGAGGCAGCAGUGGGGAAUAUUGGACAAUGGGCGAAAGCCUGAUCCAGCAAUGCCGCGUGAGUGAGGAAGGCCUUAGGGUUGUAAAGCUCUUUCGCACGCGACGAUGAUGACGGUAGCGUAAGAAGAAGCCCCGGCUAACUUCGUGCCAGCCGCCGCGGUAAUAC
rnacentral:rRNA from 1 species